rnacentral:misc_RNA from 1 species
CACACAACUCGACGAAAACAGUCACCGAGAGGACAAAAUCCACACAAAAUUGAAGCUCUCGAUCCAUGGUUUCCGUUGCAUCUUUCAAAUUUGUUCCAUUUCCGCCAUGUCUCUGGCAAAAGUUGUGCUUGUCAGUUUUGUUUGCCCUCGGACGAUGAUUUGGAACUAUUCGAAAGCAGUGAAAAGUGGUCAGAAUCAGUUGAAAUUUGGACGGGACCUUCUUUGGAAGUCGUAUAAUGUGCUUCCCUAAUUUCGGCUCAUUCAGACCACUUCUCUGAACCCUUCUUACACCACCACAUACACCACCACCCAAACAAGUCAUAUUAUUGCACCAACGAUUGCCGAUCACGAUCUACAGACCCUUGUAUGUGACGCUGGCUCGAUAAUAUCUCCUUCGUAUCUGAGAUCGGCGUGGAGUCAAUUCCACCAGACGGGAAGAGGACAAUGGGUCAGGGUCAGAAGAGGAGCCCCGGGGUCUCGGGGUCUAAUCACGUGCCACCACGUGACCGUCACCCGAGUCACAUGACCGAUCCCGCCGGUUUAAAUUCCCUCCAUGCGCAAUCACAUGGGACUAUAUUCGAACGCAGAACACACAUACAUGGACUACUGCUGACACCCCUGUAAACGUUGCUGGCGGGAAGUCUAGCGGGAUCAACGGCACUAGCAGAAGCAACAGAGAGGCACAGAGAGUUCUCUGGCUCUUUCUUUGGGCCGGCAGAUUGGAUUUUGAAUUAUUGGUGAUUUUUCCCAGCUUUUCCUCCGACUUAUCUCCAUCAAUUCUCAAAUAAUUCCAGAAAAAUACCCCGGGAUUUCCGGACUAAUCAAACGCCCCCCAAAGGACCGAAAAAACAACUCUCGAACCUGCGUCUUCGCUCCCUGCACUAGCACGAUGACUCUGGGGUCUACCAAAGACGUUAUUUUGUUUUUUUCCGGCGUUUUUCAGUUAAAAUUACUCCUUGCUUUAUGUAAGCAAAAAAUGAGCGAAAAUAGGA